rnacentral:rRNA from 1 species
AGUGAACGCUGGCGGUAGGCCUAACACAUGCAAGUCGAACGGCAGCACAGUAAGAGCUUGCUCUUACGGGUGGCGAGUGGCGGACGGGUGAGGAAUACAUCGGAAUCUACUUUUUCGUGGGUGAUAACGGAGGGAAACUUACGCUAAUACCGCAUACGACCUACGGGUGAAAUCAGGGGAGCUUCGGACCUUUCGCGAUUGAAUGAGCCGAUGUCGGAUUAGCUAGUUGGCGGGGUAAAGGCCCACCAAGGCGACGAUCCGUAGCUGGUCUGAGAGGAUGAUCAGCCACACUGGAACUGAGACACGGUCCAGACUCCUACGGGAGGCAGCAGUGGGGAAUAUUGGACAAUGGGCGCAAGCCUGAUCCAGCCAUACCGCGUGGGUGAAGAAGGCCUUCGGGUUGUAAAGCCCUUUUGUUGGGAAAGAAAAGCAGCAGGUUAAUACCCCGCUGUUCUGACGGUACCCAAAGAAUAAGCACCGGCUAACUUCGUG